GACCUCGAAUUAGGUAAGAAUACCCGCUGAACUUAAGCA
rnacentral:rRNA from 1 species